rnacentral:rRNA from 1 species
CACGAACGCUGGCGGCAGGCUUAACACAUGCAAGUCGAGCGCCCCGCAAGGGGAGCGGCAGACGGGUGAGUAACGCGUGGGAAUCUACCCAUCUCUACGGAAUAACGCAUGGAAACGUGUGCUAAUACCGUAUACGUCCUUCGGGAGAAAGAUUUAUCGGAGAUGGAUGAGCCCGCGUUGGAUUAGCUAGUUGGUGGGGUAAAGGCCUACCAAGGCGACGAUCCAUAGCUGGUCUGAGAGGAUGAUCAGCCACACUGGGACUGAGACACGGCCCAGACUCCUACGGGAGGCAGCAGUGGGGAAUAUUGGACAAUGGGCGCAAGCCUGAUCCAGCCAUGCCGCGUGAGUGAUGAAGGCCCUAGGGUUGUAAAGCUCUUUCACCGGUGAAGAUAAUGACGGUAGCCGGAGAAGAAGCCCCGGCUAACUCCGUGCCAGCCGCCGCCGUAACAC